UGGAUAUGCAGAGAAAAUAGGAUAGGAUGUUUCAUGCUUUGCUAUUGGGAAGAAAGGUGAAUUUAUUCUUGAUUAAGUUUGUUCUGAAAGGAGCUUCAACCAACCUCAGCCAGGAAGACCCCUCACAAAUGUCCUGUAUUUGAAAAAGAUCUGCUGAUUUUGAGAUUACUGAGAAUGAAGUUGCAAGGGAAAACUAAGGAACGACUUACAGAGGUUGAUCCCUUUGAACUGCUGAAACCUGAUGGCUCGCAAUCAAUAGUCUGUAAAAACAAUAAGAUCAACAGUGGAAAGAUUCAGAUUUUCUGCCUAUAAAUUAAGAUUGCUGGGCCACUGUGAUGAGUCUGACUUAAACUUAUUGCUUGAUAGAGGAGCAGGGUGAGAGGAAAGAGACUAAAAAUACCUGGAGACAAUGUGGAGCUGUUAGUACAGUAUUGAUCCACUUCAUAUAGAUAGCUGAGGGAAAUAUGGAUGUGUAAACUUAUAAUAGAUAUGACUGACAGAUGUCAUUUUCUGCUUAAAUGCUAAAUCACUGAUAGACCCUGUGACUAGAAUUCUAAGACCCAUAUAUGCUAUAUUGAAACUUUGCAAUAUGAUCAGGAAUACUUGCCUGGUCAUAAGAUCAGUUUUUCCAAUGAAGGUGAAACAGAAGUCUAGUUUUUGGUUUUCUGUUUUUAAUUUUUUUUUUUUUCUUGGG